ensembl:snRNA U6 U6 spliceosomal RNA
GUGCUUGCUUUGGCAGCGCAUAUAGUAAAUUAAAAUGAUUAGUAUGGCCCCUGCACAAGGAUGAUGGAAACAAUUUGUUUACAGGACUUUU